AAUUCGAUUGAGUUUGAUCAUGGCUCAGAAUCAACGCUGGCGGCGUGCCUCAGACAUGCAAGUCGAACGCGAAAAGCCUCUUCGGGGGCUGAGUAGAGUGGCGCACGGGUGAGUAACACGUGGAUAAUUUGCCUUCGGGUGGGGAAUAACAAUCGGAAACGAUUGCUAAUACUGCAUAAUGCAGCGGCAUCUAUGAUGACAGUUGUUAAAGCGGGGGAUCGCAAGACCUCGCGCCUGAAGAGAAGUCCGCGUCAGAUUAGCUAGUUGGUAGGGUAACGGCCUACCAAGGUGACGAUCUGUAGCCGGCCUGAGAGGGCGGUCGGCCACACUGACACUGAUAUACGGGUCAGACUCCUACGGGAGGCAGCAGUCGGGAAUUUUGGGCAAUGGGCGCAAGCCUGACCCAGCAACGCCGCGUGAAGGAUGAAGCUUUUCGGAGUGUAAACUUCACAAGAAUGGGAAGAAUAAGUCUUGGAUAACACCCAAGAUGGUGACGGUACCAUUUGUAAGCUCCGGCUAACUCCGUGCCAGCAGCCGCGGUAAUACGGGGGGAGCAAGCGUUGUUCGGAUUUACUGGGCGUAAAGGGCGCGUAGGCGGCGCAACAAGUCACUUGUGAAAUCUCCGGGCUUAACUCGGAGCGGUCAAGUGAUACUGUCGUGCUAGAGUGCGGAAGGGGCAACUGGAAUUCUCGGUGUAGCGGUGAAAUGCGUAGAUAUCGAGAGGAACACCUGCGGCGAANGCGGGUUG
rnacentral:rRNA from 1 species